GGAUGUGAAGGCUAUCUGGCUGCAGCAUCUAUCACCCCAUUGAUCACCAGGAUUAAUUUGGCUGAUCUGGCUGGCUAGGCGGGUGUCCACUCCCUCCCUCACUGCUCCAUGGGCAUCCCUCCCAAAGCUGAGCACUCAAUGGAAGAGGAUGAUGACCUUCUCCAAUAGAGGAGGACUGUUCUUCAGUCAAGGGUAUACGAGUAGCUGUGCUCCCCUGCUAGAACCUCCAAACAAACUCUCAAGAAUAUUGGACAAAGAGUUGGAAGGCCACAGUUCUGAUCCCAACUUUACCACUUACUAGCUGUGACCUCGGU
rnacentral:snRNA from 1 species